AAGAAAUUAGUUUAUUUUGUAAAAUUUUAAAUUGUAAAUUUAAAGAAAGGUGUUUCUUG
rnacentral:tRNA from 1 species